rnacentral:rRNA from 1 species
GAGUUUGAUCCUGGCUCAGGAUCAACGCUGGCAGCGUGCUUAACACAUGCAAGUCGAGCGCGGUCCCUUUGGUGCUUGCACCAAAGAAGACUGAGCGGCGGACGGGUGAGUAACGCGUGGGUGACCUGCCCUAUACACAUGGAUAACAUGCUGAAAAGCAUACUAAUACAUGAUAACGUACACUGAUGGCAUCUUCGGUGUAUCAAAGCGUUAGCGGUAUAGGAUGGACCCGCGUCUGAUUAGCUAGUUGGUGGGGUAAAAGCCUACCAAGGCCACGAUCAGUAGCCGACCUGAGAGGGUGAUCGGCCACAUUGGAACUGAGACACGGUCCAAACUCCUACGGGAGGCAGCAGUGGGGAAUAUUGCACAAUGGGCGAAAGCCUGAUGCAGCAACGCCGCGUGAACGAUGAAGGUCUUCGGAUCGUAAAGUUCUGUCGCAGGGGAAGAUAAUGACGGUACCCUGUGAGGAAGCACCGGCUAACUACGUGCCAGCAGCCGCGGUAAUACGUAGGGUGCUAGCGUUAUCCGGAUUUACUGGGCGUAAAGGGUGCGUAGGUGGUCUUUCAAGUCGGUGGUUAAAGGCUACCGCUCAACCGUAUUAAGCCCGCCGAAACUGGAAGACUUGAGUGCAGGAGAGGAAAGUGGAAUUCUCAGUGUAGCGGUGAAAUGCGUAGAUAUUGAGAAGACCACCAGUAGCGAAGGCGGCUUCCUGGACUGUAACUGACACUGAGGCACGAAAGCGUGGGUAGCAAACAGGAUUAGAUACCCUGGUAGUCCACGCCGUAAACGAUGAGUAUUAGGUGUCGGGGGUUACCCCCCUCGGUGCCGCAGUUAACGCAUUAAAUACUCCGCCUGGGGAGUACGCACGCAAGUGUGAAACUCAAAGGAAUUGACGGGGACCCGCACAAGUAGCGGAGCAUGUGGUUUAAUUCGAAGCAACGCGAAGAACCUUACCUAAGCUUGACAUCUCUCAGAUCGGUAGUUAAUCCUACCUUCCCUUCGGGGCUGAGAUGACAGGUGGUGCAUGGUUGUCGUCAGCUCGUGUCGUGAGAUGUUGGGUUAAGUCCCGCAACGAGCGCAACCCUUGUCUUUAGUUGCCAGCAUUAAGUUGGGCACUCUAGAGAGACUGCCAGGGAUAACCUGGAGGAAGGUGGGGAUGACGUCAAAUCAUCAUGCCCCUUAUGCUUAGGGCUACACACGUGCUACAAUGGGUGGUACAGAGGGUUGCCAAGCCGCAAGGUGGAGCUAAUCCCUUAAAGCCAUUCUCAGUUCGGAUUGUAGGCUGAAACUCGCCUACAUGAAGCUGGAGUUACUAGUAAUCGCAGAUCAGAAUGCUGCGGUGAAUGCGUUCCCGNGGUCUUGUACACACCGCCCGUC